ACGGCUUAAAGCGCAGGGGAGAUUGUCUGUGAACGUUCACAUGCAUUUCCACAUCAACAAAUAUCAUAAAGACAUUUUCACCGACAGCGAUUGUACCUUCUCCUUUUUUUUUCUUUUUUUUUUUUUUACUAUUAAGGUGCCGUAAGAGUCCCACCAUUUGACCUCCGCCAAGGUGCUUUCUAACAGCAGGACGCAUGGUGGAAAAGGUUUGAGAACCACUGCCAAACAGCGCUCUGGUGACGGACAGGAAGCGGUCGUAACUGAUGAGGACGAUGUUGAAGACGGAGGCGGUGCAGAGCAGGUAGUCCAUGACCAGCCACACCUUGCAGAGACCCUUACCCAGCAUCCACCUGCCCGUCAGGUUGUAGGGGAUGUAGACCGGGAUGCAGAAGGCACCUGGGGAGAGAACACAUCAGGAUGAGGUAGGAAUGCAAUCAGGUUCCCUGCAGUGGCUUGAUUUAAAAAAAAAGGGGGUUUGGGAGGGGAGUCAUAGAUAUACAAUAUAUUUUUGGAAGAUUUCUUGCCCAGCAUACUUUGAUUGGGAGGUAAUUGCAAGUGUUCUAGGAACAAAAGACUUGAAGUAGGGAGGGGAGGCAUACCCAAAAAAAAAAAAAAAAAAUUCCUAAAAUGUGAGCAAGGAGAGACAAAGAAACUGCAACCCACCCACUAGGAAAUCAGAUAUGGCCAGGUUGAGAAAGAAGUAGUUGCUCUGAGUUCUCAGGGAUUUAUCCACAAUGAAAGCCAUGAUGACCAGCGCGUUCCCCGCCACCACCGUGACCACCAGCGUCACCAUCAGCACCGACACCAGCAGCGCCAGGUAGCCCGGGAGCACCGUGCCCGCCUCGGACACCGCCGGGGUCAAGUUGCCGCUGGAGUUGUACUCCGCCAACACGCCCAUUGUUAGCGGGGCGCCCCGAGCAUCGUGGACGCGCACCGCAAGGUUCCGGGGAUGCGCCCCGCAAGUUCAAUGACGCACCCGGGCGACGCGCUCCUCCUGACCCAGGUGCCAGGAUCGGACAAAGGACCCGCGCUGCGGACGCGUCAGCUCCAUCCGGCAGGACUUUCUUCAAGUUUGGGGAAUGAGAAGGAGGGGGGGAAAUAAGGGGGGGAGGACAACCUCGCCCACGCUGGAGCCCUCCUUCCGCGCGGCGUGCGCCUUCGUGGAGUGUGCGCAAAAAGGUGGGAGCGCACGCUUCUUUUGGCUUUUUUUUUUUUUUUUUUUUUGGUCAAUACCACACACGUUGUGGCGCGCGCACACUCCGCGUCCGGGUAGACUUUCACAAUAAAAGUCACAUACGGAGCAUUGAGGGGCCACAUCGCCUUCAGAGGGCCGAU